rnacentral:tRNA from 1 species
CGCGGCUUAGCUUAACGGAUAGAGCACCCCACCGCUAACAUACAGGCUGUACGUUAGCAUACUCUAGGGGAGAUGCAGGUUCAAGUCCUGCAGCCGCAACCA